CCACAGGCAGCCCUGGAGGUGGAAGCUGGAUGGGGAGUGGGUAAGGGGUGAAGACUUUCUGUGCUGACCAGGUCAUGCAUAGACUAUGAAAAAGGCUGGUUGCUGAGCCAGGGACCUGGCCCUGAUAUAAUGGAGGAUUUUUGCUACAUCUAAAGUGUAUGAUUUCAAUGAACUGGGGAAAAUGUUCACGUGGAAAUGCAGAGCUCAGAAACCACCUGGAAGAAAGCUCAGGGGCUGUGGAAUAAGCUCCAGCCUUCCUUCUCUGUAUCCAACUUCUUCCUAACAGUAUACAAAAGCUCCUUAAGUAGCACUAGAGCUGCUUCUCACCCAUUCUAGGAGAGUGUGGAAAGUCAUGCUACACAGGACAAAUGGACAUUGGCAUUAUGCAUCCAUACCCAGGAAAAUACAAAAAUAUUUCCAUGUUGCUGCUGAAAGAAGGAAACCAAAGGUGGUCAGGCCCAGCUGUGGGUUGCACACUGGAGAUUGUGCAGCCUCUUGCAGAGCCCCAGAGAAGCUGGUGGGGACCUCCCUGGGCUGAUGCGAUUAUUCAUCGAGAGUGCUGCUAACUGUGCUGCUAAACUCCAGGAGGCAAUGAAACUUCUGGGAGUUCAAGUGUCUGCUAAACUUAGCCUGGGAGAGAAAGGGUAAGGGGUGUGAUGCCUCCAUGGUGCCAGGAACAGGAGCAGCUCCAGCCAAAAUACACUCCCUGUAUCUGUGGAAAACCUUCACUACUCUGGGGCUCACUGUGGUCUCAGAAGUCAACACAGGGCUCUGUUUCUCCCAUGGCAUUUGGUGUCCUCACUGCACACUUGUCAGGCUGGCAUGAUGAGGACCAUGCUGGCAGAGUCCUUACUGUUUUCCUCCCCUGCUCGUUAACAAGCCAGCAAUCAGCAGGUGAUAAAGGCCAGCUUAGAGAGUGGACUAGAAAAAAAUUACUUGUGGGAUUGUUUUCUGUUCACAGAAAUUUCCUCAGGUAGCUAUAUAAACUAGGAGGUAAAAAAAAGCAGCAGGGUUUGACAAACUGGAUCCUAAUGAGAACACUCCAAUGGAAAUGCUUCUCAGAAAUGGGAUGGCUCUUAGCAUUCCUUCUCUGGAUGUUGAGUGGGGUAAACCUUUUAUACAGAUGUGAGUAAGGAGAAGUUGAGGUCAUUAAAACACUACAUGUGUUUGAAGUAAGCUAAGGAUUUUAGAACCUUCCCCUUGAAUUUUGCCUUUUUGAUUCUGUCAAUUUGUAUAAAGGGACUGCAAAGAAAAGAAGAAGAAUAUAUAUUUAGAUGGACCUGCAACACUCAAGCAGAAAAGAUUGGGCAGCAUUUUCAGAAAGACUGAGACUCUCAGUGUCCUUUCAGUAUGCUGCUUUACACACACUAGCAUGCUUUGUAGACGACUACAGUGACAGACAACUACAACUGAUGUAGUAAUAGCCCUCAAGAACCUACAGCAUUUGAAAAAAAAAAAAAAAGGGUGUCAGGAGGACAUUCAGGGUUCACUGAA